UGGGGAAUAUUGCACAAUGGGCGCAAGCCUGAUGCAGCCAUGCCGCGUGUAUGAAGAAGGCCUUCGGGUUGUAAAGUACUUUCAGUCGGGAGGAAGGUGGUAAGGUUAAUAACCUUAUCAAUUGACGUUACCGACAGAAGAAGCACCGGCUAACUCCGUGCCAGCAGCCGCGGUAAUACGGAGGGUGCAAGCGUUAAUCGGAAUUACUGGGCGUAAAGCGCACGCAGGCGGUUGAUUGAGUCAGAUGUGAAAUCCCCGGGCUUAACCCGGGAAUUGCAUCUGAUACUGGUCAGCUAGAGUCUUGUAGAGGGGGGUAGAAUUCCAUGUGUAGCGGUGAAAUGCGUAGAGAUGUGGAGGAAUACCGGUGGCGAAGGCGGCCCCCUGGACAAAGACUGACGAUCAGGUGCGAAGGCGUGGGGAGCAAACAGG
rnacentral:rRNA from 1 species